rnacentral:rRNA from 1 species
UACGAAGGGGGCUAGCGUUGUUCGGAUUUACUGGGCGUAAAGCGCACGUAGGCGGAUCGUUAAGUCGGGGGUGAAAUCCUGGAGCUCAACUCCAGAACUGCCUUCGAUACUGGCGAUCUUGAGUCCGGAAGAGGUGAGUGGAACUCCUAGUGUAGAGGUGAAAUUCGUAGAUAUUCGGAAGAACACCAGUGGCGAAGGCGGCUCACUGGACUGGUAUUGACGCUGAGGUGCGAAAGCGUGGGGAGCAAACAGG